GCAGGUAGAGUUUGAUCCUGUCUCAGAUUAAACGCUGGCGGCAGACCUGAUACUUGCAAGUCGAGCGGUAACAGAUCUAGCAUGCUAGAAGCUGACGAGCGGCGGACGGAUGAGUAAUGCAUAGGAAUCUGCCCGGUAGUGGCAGAUAACCAGAGGAAACACAGGCUAAUCCCGCAUGAGUUCUACGGGAGAAAGAGGGCUUCGGCGCCCGCUAUUGGAUGAGCCUAUGUCGGAUUAGCUAGUUGGUGAGGUAACGGCUCACCAAGGCGACGAUCCGUAGCUGGUCUGAGAGGAUGAUCAGCCACAUCGGGACUGAGACACGGCUCGAACUUCUACGGGAGGCAGCAGUGGGGAAUAUUGGACAAUGGGGGCAACCCUGAUCCAGCCAUGCCGCGUGUGUGAAGAAGGCCUCGGGUUGUAAAGCACUAUCAGCGAGGAAGAACGCCUAGUGGUUAAUACCCAUUAGGAAA
rnacentral:rRNA from 1 species